ensembl:piRNA 21ur-1108 ncRNA
UGUUCCUCCUGGUCUAUUCAC